GACGAACGCUGGCGGCGUGGAUUAGGCAUGCAAGUCGAACGGUAUCAUCCUUUCGGGGGUGAGAGAGUGGCGAACUGGUGAGUAACACGUAGGUUAUCUACCCUCAAGACGGGGACAACCCAGGGAAACUUGGGCUAAUACCGGAUGUGAGCAACUUUUAGUUGUUUGAAAGGUGGCGUAAGCUGUCGCUUGGGGAUGAGCCUGCGUCCUAUUAGUUAGUUGGUGAGGUAACGGCUCACCUAGGCAAUGAUAGGUAGGCGGCCUUAACGGGUGGUCGCCCACACUGGGAUUGAGAUACGGCCCAGACUCCUACGGGAGGCAGCAGUCGAGAAUAGUCUACAAUGGUCGGAAGACUGAUAGUGCGACGCCGCGUGAACGAUGAAUCCCUUCGGGGUGUAAAGUUCUUUUAUAUGUGAGCAGUGCUUCUUAUAUUAACAGUAUGGGGAGAGAGAUAUUAGCAUAUGAAUAAGCAACGGCUAACUCGUCGCCAGCAGCCGCGGU
rnacentral:rRNA from 1 species